rnacentral:lncRNA from 12 species
UGCUUAUUGCUGCAAUCAUCCUAAUACAUAUUUUGUAUAUCUUCUAACAUCUAGCUACUGAGCAAAGAGGCACUGUUAAUAUUCUGGUGAAUUCUGUUCCUUUGGUUGAUCCUUGUCAUCUGACUCCAGUGCCAACUUCUCAUGCUAAAGGAGGUGAGAGAUGGUCCUGUUCAGUACCACUUUGAGGAAAACAAACAGGUGAAGAAUUGUUUUUAUAUUUAUUUGUGAAACUCAUGUUGAAAACUAAAGUGGCCUUUUGAACAUUAAAGAACAUUGUGUGAAGAGACACAUUCCAAACGUUGAGUUUCUUUCAUUUCUUUUGUGUCUCUUCACACAAAAAGAGUUUUAUGAUUUUUGACAUUUGCUUAGUUUAUACCUUUAGCUAUACCUGGGAAAUUGACUUCAGGCUGGGGUAAGUUCAAUUUCUUUUCACUAUCAUUUAGACAGAGUUGUCAUUUUUGUAAUUGACAACUGAGAGUAAUAAGCAUAUAAAAUGUUUAUUUUAUAAUGUUCAAGAAUUUAAAAAUAUAUAUCAAAUAAACAAAUGCAUAUGCAAAUAAACA